AUGCUUGAUCUGUCGGAUAACCAGCCUACAGGUGCAAUACCAUCUGCACUGAAUGAUUUGCACUUCCUUUCUACAUUUGAUGUUUCCAACAACAGGCUAGAAGGACCAGUUCCAACUGGAGGACAGUUUCAUACAUUCUCAAAUUCCAGCUACAGUGGGAAUCCAAAGCUAUGUGGACCCAUGCUCAACCUCGAUUGCACCUCCACGGCAACAGAUCAAACCUCCGCCUCACAGCGGCAUAGCUUGCGCUUUGCACUGGUCACUGGAAUCACCUCGGGAGGACUCAUUGCUCUUGCAUUGCUUGCGUGUUUCCUUAUUGCACGGUUAGUAUACUAUGACCACACUGAAAAUGUAGUUCCCCUUCGAAGCAGGCGGCGAUGA
rnacentral:rRNA from 1 species